AACGCACAUUGCGCCCGCCAGCAUCCUGGCGGGCAUGCCUGUCCGAGCGUCAUUUCAACCCUCGAGCCCCCAGGGCCCGGUGCUGGGACGCUGCGGCGACGCCCCCGGGCGCGCCGCAGGCCCCGAAAUGCAGCGGCGGCGCCGCCGAGGCCCCCGAGCGAAGUAGCUAACAGCAUCGCUCAGGGCGGCCCGGCGGCUGCCAGCACCCCGAAGCUGCUGAGCGCCAGCGGCGCACACGCCAAGGUUGACCUCGGAUCAGGUAGGAGUACCCGCUGAACUUAA
rnacentral:misc_RNA from 1 species